rnacentral:rRNA from 1 species
GAUGAACGCUGGCGGCGUGCCUAAUACAUGCAAGUCGAGCGAACGGACGAGAAGCUUGCUUCUCUGAUGUUAGCGGCGGACGGGUGAGUAACACGUGGAUAACCUACCUAUAAGACUGGGAUAACUUCGGGAAACCGGAGCUAAUACCGGAUAAUAUUUUGAACCGCAUGGUUCAAAAGUGAAAGACGGUCUUGCUGUCACUUAUAGAUGGAUCCGCGCUGCAUUAGCUAGUUGGUAAGGUAACGGCUUACCAAGGCAACGAUGCAUAGCCGACCUGAGAGGGUGAUCGGCCACACUGGAACUGAGACACGGUCCAGACCCCUACGGGAGGCAGCAGUAGGGAAUCUUCCGCAAUGGGCGAAAGCCUGACGGAGCAACGCCGCGUGAGUGAUGAAGGUCUUCGGAUCGUAAAACUCUGUUAUUAGGGAAGAACAUAUGUGUAAGUAACUAUGCACAUCUUGACGGUACCUAAUCAGAAAGCCACGGCUAACUACGUG